ACGACAUGAUGGGGACAUUUUCGGAUGAGAUCCUUUAAUCUUUCCCAUGACUCAUGGAACCGCUCACCAUCUUGUUGCGAAAAGCUAGUGAGAGCUCGUCAUAUCUGGUUAG
rfam:Cephalotus follicularis DNA, scaffold: scaffold726, isolate: St1.